UACAAGUACCCCGUGAGGGAAAGUUGCAAAGCACUUUGAAGAGAGAGUUAAAGAGGACGUGAAACCGGUAGGAUGGAAACGGAUAGAGCCAGCGAAGUCGCUCGUAUUCAGCCAAAGGCCAGGGGUAUCGGUUGGUCGGGUUGCUAAUCACGCCUGGCUAGCCUUUUGCCUCUGGUUGAGGUGCAUUUGCGGGCGUUUGCGCUGAGACUUGCGGGCCAGCUUCUGGACCCGGGCCUAGAGGCCGUCCUCUGGGCGGAACUUGGGCACGGCGACGGUUGUUUGACCUGCUCGUACCACGGCUUGGCCUACGGACCGGGGCUCUGUCGUUGCUGUCGGGCGUUGCCAUCGCAUGCGAUGACUCGUCCGGUGGUUGCGGCGGUGUUUCGCGUUCCCAAAGUCGGCUCUCGGUGUAAAAGCUGGUCACCUAUCCGACCCGUCUUGAAACACGGACCAAGGAGUUUAGCGUAUACGCGAGCCAUUGGGUGUUCAAACUCACAGGCACAAUGAAAGUAAAGGCCCAGUCGCUGGGCUGACAUGCGAGUCGGUGGGCUCCGGCCUGCCGAUGCAGCAUGGUCCCGUUCCAGUCGCUUGCGGCGGAGCGGAGACAGAGCGUAUGCGCUGAGACCCGAAAGAUGGUGAACUAUUCCUGAGCAGGAUGAAGCCAGAGGAAACUCUGGUGGAAGUCCGAAGCGGUUCUGACGUGCAAAUCGAUCGUC
rnacentral:rRNA from 1 species